AGGCCAAUGACAAAAAUUUACAUUAUCUUAAAGAAAGAUGAUGGCAUACUAAUCAUGCUCCCUAGGGCUAUUCUGAGCCU